AUUGAACGCUGGCGGCAGGCCUAACACAUGCAAGUCGAACGGUAACAGGAAGAAGCUUGCUUCUUUGCUGACGAGUGGCGGACGGGUGAGUAAUGUCUGGGAAACUGCCUGUGGAGGGGGGUAACUUACUGGAACGGGAGCCAAUACCGGAUAACCUUGGCAGAACAAAGAGGGGGGACUUCCGGCCCUUUGGCAUUCGAAGUGGCCAGGUGGGAUUAGCUAGUAGGUGGGGUAACGGCUCACCUAGGCGACGAUCCCUAGCUGGUCUGAGAGGAUGACCAGCCACACUGGAACUGAGACACGGUCCAGACUCCUACGGGAGGCAGCAGUGGGGAAUAUUGCACAAUGGGCGCAAGCCUGAUGCAGCCAUGCCGCGUGUAUGAAGAAGGCCUUCGGGUUGUAAAGUACUUUCAGCGGGGAGGAAGGGAGUAAAGUUAAUACCUUUGCUCAUUGACGUUACCCGCAGAAGAAGCACCGGCUAACUCCGCG
rnacentral:rRNA from 1 species